rnacentral:misc_RNA from 1 species
AACUCUUGACUCAUCUACAC